UUUGGUUUGAUUGAUUGACUUUUGAUGACAGUAUGUAGUUUUUUUGCCAUGCCGAAGGUUGUUUAGGACGAAGGGAUUGUCUUAUGGGAGGUUCAAAAGGAUUUGUUGGGGUGGAAGAAGGUGUCGUUGAUUCUGUUGAAGGGUUUAUUAUAAUAUUUGGUGCAUUAGUUGGUUCAACUGAGGGUGAGGUUUCAGAAUUUGUGGGUUGAUCUUGAGAAACUUCUGAUGCUUCAAUGGGUUUGGCUGGAGAUAAUAAUUGAGAAGAUGUGGGUUUAUGUACAUCAUGGUAUUGGAUUUGUUGAGGUGAAGUAUUAGGAGAAGAUGGUACAUACUGCUAAUUAUCCGUGCAUCUUGAAGAAAAUGUAUCAAACAUAGAAGGUUGAUUUGGUGAAGUUGAGAAAC
rnacentral:lncRNA from 1 species